GGACGGUUAGCUCAGUUGGUUAGAGCGCGUCGUUGACAUCGACGAGGUAACUGGUUCGAAUCCAGUACCGUCCA
rnacentral:tRNA from 1 species